CCCUUAGACACUCUAGGCGGCACGCGCGCUACAAUGGGUGGAAGAACGUGUUACUGCCUCCGAAAGGAGGGGUGAAUCACGAAUUCUUGCCCGUGAAUGGGAUAGUUUGUUGCAAUUUUCGGACUUGAACUAGGAAUCCCGUGUAAACAUGCUCAAGAAUAGCGUGUUGAAUACGUCCCUGCCGUUUGUACACACCGCCCGUCGUUUCUUCCGACUGAUACUCAUUGUGAGUUGCAAGGACCCUUUAUUGGGAAAUUGCUGCAAAUGCUUUGUAUUGGAGGAAGAAAAAGUCGUAACA
rnacentral:rRNA from 1 species